rnacentral:rRNA from 1 species
UACGGGAGGCAGCAGUGGGGAAUAUUGCACAAUGGGCGCAAGCCUGAUGCAGCAACGCCGCGUGAGGGACGACGGCCUUCGGGUUGUAAACCUCUUUUUAGUAGGGAAGAAGCGAAAGUGACGGUACCUGCAGAAAAAGCACCGGCUAACUACGUGCCAGCAGCCGCGGUAAUACGUAGGGUGCAAGCGUUGUCCGGAAUUAUUGGGCGUAAAGAGCUCGUAGGCGGUUUGUCGCGUCUGCUGUGAAAACCCGAGGCUCAACCUCGGGCCUGCAGUGGGUACGGGCAGACUAGAGUGCGGUAGGGGAGAAUGGAAUUCCUGGUGUAGCGGUGGAAUGCGCAGAUAUCAGGAGGAACACCGAUGGCGAAGGCAGUUCUCUGGGCCGUAACUGACGCUGAGGAGCGAAAGCGUGGGGAGCGAACAGGAUUAGAUACCCUGGUAGUCCACGCCGUAAACGUUGGGCGCUAGAUGUGGGGACCAUUCCACGGUUUCCGUGUCGCAGCUAACGC